UACGGAGGAUCCAAGCGUUAUCCGGAUUUAUUGGGUUUAAAGGGUGCGCAGGCGGAAUGAUUAGUCAGUGGUGAAAUCCUACGGCUCAACUGUAGAACUGCCAUUGAUACUGUCAUUCUUGAGUAUAAUUGAUGUGGGCGGAAUGUGUCAUGUAGCGGUGAAAUGCUUAGAUAUGACACAGAACACCGAUCGCGAAGGCAGCUCACAAAGCUAUAACUGACGCUCAGGCACGAAAGCGUGGGGAUCAAACAGG
rnacentral:rRNA from 1 species